CUUUCCUCAGUUCAGGAACUGUAGGAAACAUGGGGCUCUGUAGGGGAAUGUGGAUACCUACAGCAGGCUUGGUAAUAGUUCUGACAUGUCUACAAGUGCAAGCUGCAAAUAAUAUUUUGAAGCCACUGAAAAAUACCAUUGACGUUUCAAAUGAGAAUUCGGCAUCAGGUUCAAAUGAGAAUUCGGCAUCAGGUGCAAAUAAUUUCUUGAAGUCACUCAAAAAUUCUGUUGAGGAUUCAAAUGGCAAGCCUGUAGCAG